UAAACUUCUGCAAUUUACACAAAAAUAUGUCAUUGGGUCAGUAGGUGUAUUGUGUCUGCACGCGGUAUAGUUUCAAUAAAAAUAUAGCGCUGUGAUGAUUUCGUUUGUGUGGCAAAAAUGGACUUAAUUAACCUGCAAAAAGUAAAAGAGAAGAAAUAAAUCUCUGUUGAUCUUGGAUUACUAUCUGGUUACUGAUUUCUAGGGAUGUAAGGCUGCAAAAUUUACGAAUGUGACGGGAAGGAACAAUGGCAACUUGCUACAUGCGCAUCCGUUUAUCAACUUCCCAAGAGCUAAAUACAUCAUCAGAGUCACUAUCUUCAAAUUCAUCGACAUUAGACAACUCAUUUGCAUGUUCGAGUGAAGAAGAAGGUGGACUUAGGUACAAUAACAAUUUAGAGUAUGUUUCAUAAAACGA